UACCCUUCCCCGCUAGCUCUCUUCCCCUGGCCUACGGGCUCACUCCAGCUGCUGCUCUCUCCCACCGAAGGAAAAAAUGGUGAUCGUUCAAAGCAUCAUCUGCACGCCACAAGCUCUCUCCGCUUCGCUUGCUUCCGCGCUCCGGCCACGUCUCAGUCCGCGCCCGCUCUCCUCCUCAUCUUCUCUCCGCCCCAAUCGCAACCGGCGCAGCGCGGGACCGCCUCUUCCUCGCACGGCCGUCUCGCGGGACUCGUCCGGUCCGAAGUCCGAACCUCGCAACCCCGGCGGCGACGGGUCCGGAGAGACGGCGCCUCUCCCGAAGACGAAGCCGCGGAAGCCCAGGAGGAGGGGCCGCCGGAGCGAAGCCCAAGCGGUAGAGGACUUCAUAAGGGGGUCGCUCGACCGGACGUUCGCGUCUAUCAGGGAGCAGAAUCCCGAGGCGUUUGAUGGAAUCGCGGAGGAUGUGAUGGUGAAGGAGAAGAUUGAUGAUGAGGAUGAUGACGGGGAGGAGGAGGAGGAGGAGGCUGCGGAGGCGGAGAAGGAGUUUGUAGUUCAGGAGGAGAGCUCGAGUUGGCCGUUGGAUGCGGACGUGGGCUGGGGAAUUAGGGCGUCGGAGUAUUUCGAGCAGCAUCCGAUCAGGAAUGUGGUUGGAGAAGAUGGUUCUGCGAUUGACUGGGAAGGGGAGGUGGAGGACAGUUGGGUCAAGGAGAUCAAUUGUUUGGAGUGGGAGAGUUUCGCUUUCCAUCCGAGCCCAUUGAUUGUUCUCAUUUUCGAAAGAUACAACAGGGCAUCUGAUAACUGGAAGGUUUUGAAAGAGUUAGAAAAUGCCAUCAAAGUUUAUUGGGGGACGAAAGACCGAUUACCACCUCGAGCUGUUAAAGUAGAUAUGAACAUUGAAAGAGAUUUGGCAUACGCUCUUAAAGUUAAAGAGUGCCCACAAAUACUAUUCUUACGUGGAAACAGGAUUUUGUACAGGGAGAAAGAUUUUCGAACAGCUGAUGAAUUGGUUCAUAUGAUCGCACAUUUCUACUAUAAUGCAAAGAAACCUUCAUGGGUUGGUGAUGCAGCCCUGAAUUUACCUUAUUAAAGUGCUAGUCUGGACCUGGCAUUCGUCUUCCUGUACAGGUAGCUGGUUUUGAUCCUACUAUAAAGAAAAAGAAAGGAACACACCUCAAUGUUAUGGACAAAAUGUUAUUUAUGUGGGCUUUCUUCUUUCUGAGGAUUUGACUAGCACUGGUUCAGAUUCAACUAGAAAAUCCAAGGGCAAUCAGACUGUGGAAGGUGCUUUCUUUUAUCCAAUGCUUGCUUACCUUCGUCAUGCACUUGUUGAUCACAUUUAGAAAGGCUUAGCAGGAUCUGUGUAUUGUCCCCUAGAAGUUAGAAAAUUCGAUGGUUUAGUUUGAAGCCUGGAUUCUUAUGCUGAGAGUUUCCAUUGCAUUCUGUUUUCUUCAGUCUAGGUUUUGGCGUUAAUCUUUCUGUUAGUAUAUAAUUUGCUCUUAGUCACAUGGCACUUUUGAAUUGAGUAUACUUAGACAUUGCUAGUCCACUGUAUUCAA